rnacentral:rRNA from 1 species
UACAGAGGUCCCAAGCGUUGUUCGGAUUCACUGGGCGUAAAGGGUGCGUAGGCGGUCAUUUAAGUCUGACGUGAAAUCUCCGGGCCUAACCCGGAAACUGCGUUGGAAACUAUCUGACUAGAGGAAUGGAGGGGAGACUGGAAUACUUGGUGUAGCAGUGAAAUGCGUAGAUAUCAAGUGGAACACCAGUGGCGAAGGCGAGUCUCUGGGCCUGUUCUGACGCUGAGGCGCGAAAGCUAGGGGAGCGAACAGG